rnacentral:rRNA from 1 species
GAAGAAGUGAAUUAAGGGCAUUUGGUGGAUGCCUUGGCAUGCACAGGCGAAGAAGGACGUGAUACGCUGCGAAAAGCCGUGGGGAGCUGCGAAUAAGCUUUGAUCCAUGGAUCUCCGAAUGGGGCAACCCACCUUAAAUGCUUGGAAAAUCCAGUCUGUUUUAUGAACGGCCUGGGUUUCCAAGCAUUGUGAUAAGGUAUCUUACUUUCGAAUACAUAGGGGUAAGAAGCGAACGCAGGGAACUGAAACAUCUAAGUACCUGCAGGAAAGGACAU